UAAUGAGAAUACUCAGUAAUGGUCUCCCCUCCCCACCCCCAUUGCUUGGGGGAGCAGGAACAGGCUGAGGCCCUGAGCAGAGGGAGCACAUGGCUAGAGCCUGUAACACGCAAUGGAAGGAAGGCGGAAGAGAAGCCUUCCUUCCUCUUCUGAGAGUCUGAGUCCCCUGAAAAGUAGGUUUUUGUGGGCAGUGUGCUUCUUGGGCUGGACGCUGCCAAAUGGGAAGAAGUGGAUGAGAAAGUGGGAGGAAAGGAAAACCCACGGCAAGGGAGUAAAGCCAGGUUACAGGAGACCGAGAAACUCAGCUGCCCGUCUUAACUCUGGUGGGGAUGGUACCUGGAGCCUUUGACAACUUUCCGCGUGGAAGAUAUGCUGGAAGACAUCUGUGAGAGCUUAGACUAGCCCGGGGGACAGUAUCGUGUACCUAUCCCUUCUGGAUAUUGCAUUAUUCAUCCACGGAAUAAUUUUUCCAUCUGGAUUUGACUGGAAGACAAGAGCUAUGCACAUGGGCAAGGAGUUGAAGUGGAGAACUUGUGUGAAUGAAGGAAAACAGAUACUAAGUCUGGCUUUGGGCAUAUUGGAUCUGUGGUACAGUGGCUGAAUAUUCAAGUGCAAAAAUAAAGUAGAACUGAUUUUUUUCUACAUGACUGGAAGAGAAUUAAAAAAAAAAAAAAAAAAAAACACCGUGAAAUUGGAGAGUCUAACCAAAAUCAGAUAAAGAGUUUAGGAAAGAAAAAAAAAAAAAAUUGAACACUCCGCCACUCUCUUCUUGUUUGAUGUCUAAUUACUAUGUGGGAACAGAGUUUAUUCACAUCGUUUGUAUUUUCUUCAGCUGGCAUCGUGGGGAACAAUAACUGGGAUUGUGAUGGAAAUGUUAUUUAAGUUUGCUAAAUGAAAAUAAAAAUAAACGAGAAGGGAAUAGAAAAUGCUAGGAAAUACGGGUAAAUAUUUUAGCUUGGGGGGGUGUGAUUUGCAAAACUCUUAACUAUCGUGUAAUUGAAUUCUGUGAAAGGAUUUAUGGGCAACGUGACUGAUGUUGGGAGGAUUCUAAGACAGUGUUUUAAUUAUUUGGAAGGGAAACAGGUCCUCAGAGGAAAGACCACCUUCCUAUCCAUCCAUAAAAGUUAAAGGAAAACUUCACCAGACCACCAAGAUUGCAGUUCAUAGGCUUAAGGACUAAGGUCGCCUGAAUUCCUUAGAAGAGUCCUGAAGACGCUGGCCCCGUUCCUCCAUCACUGCUGUAGCGCUCAUCCCUUCACCUUUUAUUUAUUUUCUCUCCCUUUGCUUCUUUUAUCCCCUCUUCUUGUGCCUUUUGGAUAGCAACUAUAAAGCCAUGGUUAUGAAAUGGCCAUAAAACUUUAUUUGAAGCAGAGAUGAUUAUGUGGUUGGGGGGGGGGGGGAGGACUAAAUAUAAAGAAACAACUCUAAGUUGUUAAGAAAGAGAAGAAGACCGUUAACAGCAACAUCUUGAUCCUGUUAAGAGAUGAGCUGAAGCCAUCCAAAGCAUGCAGGGAACAAGGUGAUAAUAAGAGAAAAUGUGUUUCACAGACAAAGCAGCAGACAGCAGGGGAGAAUUGCUCAGGGAGAAAGGUGAGCUCUUGGGAGAGGGUGCAGGAAGGACUUUAAUCCUCUGAAUCAUACUGGUGGGAGCACGGGUGGCUAUUUGAACUCCUCUGCAACUUCAGCGGGGCCUCGAAAAAUUGGAUCUUGAGGAAGGAGAACAAAAGAAAAGUUCACUGUGAGUUCCUUUCACCAGAGCAGGGGAAAAUGCUUUGAGGUCAACUCUAAAAGGUGGUAAUGUUAGGAAGUGGAACUGAAUAACAGAAAAAACAGUAGUAAUGAUGACGUGUCAGGUCACUGGGAGCUCGCCUAGCAUAACGUGGUCAACCACCAUUGACCAGCUCAUGCUGUGCGCAAAUCCCAGCAUGCACCGUGGUUCCCAUCACCCCUAACCAGCAUGGCAAGCUAAACUCUCAGGAUAAGGCCUGGGCUGUUCCUGAGGAUGUUUGCUCACUUGACAAAUAAUUGGGUUCUCCAUGUGCCUGCCAGGGCUAACGCUGGGAGGUGUAGCUAGAUGCUUAAUGUGAUUGGACCAGCUGGUUCUGAAAGGCCAGAAAAUGAAUCCUAGAAAAUGGAUGCUGACCCUGGAAGGACACAGGCCUAAUCCAAACCAGGAGUGUUGAUGCAAAGAGAGCCAACAUGGUAACCAGAAAAAACGUGUGCGUGCUCAAGUCCUCAUGAGCAGGGUGCCAUACAUUGUAGUCUGGAUGCUAAUGAGACUGGAAUGUUGGAAGGUAAUUAGGUCACUAGGACAUGAUGGUACAGUCCCAUGAAUGGGCUUAGUGUCCUUAUAAAAGAGACCCCAGAGAGCUCUCUAGUUUUUUCCCUAUUGUAUGAACACAUAAGACAACCUCUUAGGAAUCCAGAAGAGAAUUCCAUAUGUGACAGUCUAUAUUCCAAAUAGAUUAACAUAGAACAUGAUUUUUUUAUUUAUGUUUUUUGUGUGGAGAUUUUGGCCAAGGACUGUAUCUUUGAACACCUAGCUUAACAGUACCAGAACCCAACUAUGUUGCCAUACUGACCUCAAGACUUCUGGCCUCCAGACAAUGAGGAAGAAACUUGUUUAUAAACCAUCCAAUCUCUGGUUCUUUGUUAUAGCAUAGCGGCCUAGGUAGACCAGGGUGUCCUUAAGAGGAAAGAAUGGCAGCUGCUAGGCUUUCAUUCUUUUUUUUUUUUUUUGGUUUUUUUUUUUUUUUUUUUUUUCGGAGCUGGGGACCGAACCCAGGGCCUUGCGCUUCCUAGGUAAGC